rnacentral:pre_miRNA from 15 species
UGGAGGUGGAGGUGGAGGUGGAGCUCCUUGAAGUCCAAAGAAGGGACUUGGAUGGGUGGACACAGCUGCUGGUUUAUGGAUUCCACUGCCCUAUUCCAUGUUUUGAGGACACGGUUGAUGGAUGGUUUGGGAUAGGCUUGUGGUUUGCAUAACUCAGGAGCUGCAUCAGCCCAGCCUGACCCUUAUUUGGAUUGAAGGGAGCUCUACAUCUAUCUGUGGACUUCC